rnacentral:lncRNA from 1 species
AAAUACUGAUGUUUUGAAAUAGAUGAUUCUGUGCUCGCCUUUUAAAGCCUUAAUUUUAUGCACAUUAAUCUCAUUGCAGGUAAAAAUAUGAAUUCUUAAAUCCUACAUAAAUGAUCUAAGUGACAAGAAUAGAAUAUUUAUUCAAACAAUUGAAGAUUCUGAAAGAGAAGCCAAUGACAAUUUCUCAUUUGAAAGUUAGACUACUGAGAGCUGACCAGAUAAUUAAUCUUCAGAAAAGAGAAGAAGAGCUACAGAGACAGCAGAAGGAAACAUUUUCUCUGACACAGAAAAAAGACAGUCUUCUGGCUGAGCUCCAAGCUUGGGAACAUUUGAUUUACCAGCUUCAGACUGAGCAGUGUAAAAUGAAAUCUGAGCUAGAAAAAUGGAGAGUUAAACUUGGACAGCUGCAGAAUGAACUGGGCACAUCCAGCAAGUUAUAUGGGCAGGCCAAACGUCAGCUGGAAGACCUAAAGACGAUUGUUCAGCAGCACAGGCAGUCUUCAGUGGACAAUCAAAAUGUACCUAUCACUGAAGAAGCCCAGUGGCACGAUGCCUUUGUGACUCUUAAAUGUGAUUUCACAGAACUUGAAAAGAAUCACCUUGAAGCUUUACUACAGCUGAGCCACAAAGUGUAUGUGACAAAAGCUCGCAGCACAGAAAUAUCAAAAGCAACAUCCAAGUCACCUCAACAGCAAAAAGUUCUAGGCUUCUUUUCCUGUCCCCCGCUCACAAAAACUAUCAGUGUUAAUUUCCUGGAUCUUUGGAGCAGUGUCCUGAUGGUAUAG